rnacentral:tRNA from 1 species
GGAGGAGUAGCCAAGAGGCCGAAGGCGCGGCACUGGAGAUGCCGUAUGGCGGUGACGCCAUCGUGGGUUCGAAUCCCACCUCCUCCGCCA